rnacentral:lncRNA from 1 species
CUCAUCAUUUCUUAUAGUGCAGUAAUAGUCUGUUAUGGCCAAGCACCACAAUUGGCUUAGCCAUUGCCUAGCAACAAGCAAUUUGUUUCUAGUUCUUUACCACCCACAAAAAAUGGUGCUCUAAAUACUUUGGUCCUAGCCAUCGUGGACUAUUAGCUUCUUUUGUCAUCUUGGCCAUUUUUCAGGACGUGAGAGGAUCCCUCAAGCCUUCCGGACUUCAUCUGGACUAACGCAAUGGACAGAGACUUCACGUUGGAGCCAGGAAAGCCUGACAGAAUGAGGUUCUGCAGCCUGGACGGGCUCCUCUCACUUCCUCCAGGAGACCCCAAUCAUCGCUCGUUGAUGUUGCACCCACGCCAUCAUGUAAUGUUCAAAUGUAGCUUCCUCCUGCCCUGAGCAUCCAUGUGGGCUAUGCUAGGGGAACUUGAUGGUUAAAGGGCACCCCUCAAGGGCUCUGAUGAAUAUUUAUGGGAUUGAAUGGGUGGGGGAGGGAGGGGGAGAAGGAGCUGUUGUGAGGCUUUCUGUAAAUUUGUCACUUGGUUUUGCUGCUUAAAUUCAAAACAGGAACCAUGAUUAUUUGUUAAAAACCCAAAU